ACUCAAAUGAAUUGACGGGGGCCCGCACAAGCGGUGGAGCAUGUGGUUUAAUUCGACGCAACGCGCAGAACCUUACCAGCCCUUGACAUGGGCGCUGCGGCCUCGUGAGAGCGGGGCUUCCCUUCGGGGGGCGUUCACAGGUGCUGCAUGGCUGUCGUCAGCUCGUGUCGUGAGAUGUUGGGUUAAGUCCCGCAACGAGCGCAACCCUUAUCUCCAGUUGCCAGCGGGUUGGGCCGGGCACUCUGGAGAGACCGCCGGUGACAAGCCGGAGGAAGGUGGGGAUGACGUCAAGUCCUCAUGGCCCUUAUGGGCUGGGCUACACACGUGCUACAAUGGCGGUGACAGUGGGCAGCGAAGGGGCGACCUGGAGCAAAUCCCCAAAAGCCGUCUCAGUUCGGAUCGCAGGCUGCAACUCGCCUGCGUGAAGGUGGAAUCGCUAGUAAUCGUGGAUCAGCAUGCCACGGUGAAUACGUUCCCGGGCCUUGUACACACCGCCCGU
rnacentral:rRNA from 1 species